UUAUACAUGAGCUUACGAAAAAAGCCCCCGAGUGCUCUCGCGUUUCUCCGCCGGGACUGGAGAGUCUCGCUCGUUUUCCUCCCAUGAGAUUCCAGUUUCAGCCCGAAUCUGGGAGAAAAUAAGGGCAAGAAAGAUUGAGAGAAUCGCGAGCUUGGAGGGCGCCAUGGGAGCAUGCCAUCACAGCCAACGAAACUCUCACAGCGACAGUUUUUUUUUUUUCUUUUUUUUUGAGUUGGAGUUCGAUUUCUUCGUUUGGUACCAAAAAAUUCUAUUAUUACCUCAAGGAAAAUGGGUACAUAACUGUCAACUAAUCAAGCAUUUAUGAUACCAACAAUUAUUAUUAUUUAUUAUUACUAAAAUUUCAAAAUAUUAAAUUAAUAGGAAAACUAAUGAAAAGAGUUUGAAAACUUUGAGUUUUAAUGAUAAGGACAAAAUAAAGAGUAAAGUGAAUAGUACCAGAUUUGACUUUUUAGUUUAAAAAUGUGAUUUUUCAUUAAAGUGAACAGUACCAUGGGAUUUUCGUUAAAACUCCCUAAAUUAAUUGGUUAGGAUUAAUUGUUGCUUUGAAUAAAUAAAGGAAAAAUAUUUUAUUAUUAGCAAAAACAGGAAAAAUAUUUUAUUCUAAUUGAAAACAAAAAUAUAUCAUGCAAUUUAAAAAAGCCCAAUUGGCAUAUGUGUAGGCGUGUUGAAAGAGAUAUGUAAUAUCAACUUUUAUAUAAGUAAAAAUUCGUUGGGUUGUUUGAUUUUGAAUUAUUUUUUGGUGGAAAUUUUGAAUUUAUUUCAAUUACAAAAACAUUAUCAUAUAUAAACAAACUAUAGGGUCAUAAUUAUUAAAAAAAAAAAUUAUAUUAACCCAAAUUUCUUUUAAUAUAAAGGCAAAUAGAUGAUAUAAAUUUCUCCAUGAAAGGACAACAUAUAACAAAAAAAAAAAUCCUUUGUUGAGAUCAUGCUUGAAAGUUGAAACAACAAAAAAAAUAUUAUAAAAGUAUCACCACCAAUGUCUAAAAAAGCGUAAUUUAAGUGUUUUUUACUGCAAAAAAUCGAGGUAGAAGAUAAGAUUUUGGUUGCAAGACCUUUAUUAAACUUGUUGAUUCGUGCAUACAAUUUUUUUACUGGUCGGCACAUACUUACAAAAACGUAGUGCCAGUGACUAAUAAAAAGAACCAAGUUUCUAAGAAAGAUAUUAGCCACAUUUGCAUUUAAUUUGGAAUGGAUAAACUUUUUAGGUCAUCCUUUAGCCAAAUUAAAGGACGAAUAUUAUAUUUAACGAGUGAAAUUCGAAAGGAAUUCUCUGUUCAUGGCAUGCUUGAACGAGCAAUAGAAUAUUAUCGAAAAUUGCAUCAUUGGUUUUCGAAAGAACGCAUUGAAGUAUUCUUUUCUUGCAAAAAGUAGAGGUAGAAGAUAAGAUUUUUGUUGAAAGACCUUCAAUAAACUCAGUGAGUCGUACUUACAUUUUUUGGCCAUUUGACAUAUCCUGACAAAAAAAAACAAGGAACUUUAACGAAAAGUUUCUGUUACUGUUUAUUUUAACGAAAAAUUAUAUUUUUACACUAAAAAGUCAAUUCUAGUACUAUUCACUUUACCUUUUAUUUUGUCUUCGUUAAAACUCUUUUCAAGUCAUUUUUAUUAAUUUUCCUAAAAAAAUACUGGUGAUUAAUAAAGCGAACUAAGUUUUCCAGAAAUAUGUUGGAGACCUUCGCAUUAGAUUUGGAAUGAUAAAAUCUUUUGGGUCAUCCCUUGACAAAGUUAGAGGACGACUAUUUCUUUUUUGAUUAAUUGUAUAACAUUCUUCUUUCUCAGGUAGUUUUGUUUGAUAAGUACCCACCUGCUAUCUUUAUAUCGGACAAGGAUUGUCUACCCUUCACUUUCGGUGCCCUUUUCGUGCCCUCCUGUUUAUGUAGUCACGGUUAAGCCAUGUCAAUAUUUUAUAUUACUAUUUAUUUUUGUCUUAUUAUAUCUAUAAAAAAAUAAUAUAAAAUGUUAACGUGGCUUAACCGUGACCACACAAAACAGAAGGGCACGAGAAGGGCAUCGGAAGUGGAGGCAGACAAUCCUUGUCCCUUUAUAUCAGUUAACAUUCCCCUUUUAUUUUAUUUUUAUAUUUAUAAACUUUUAUAUUUUAUAAAUUUUGCUAGACUUCAAAUACUUUCAAAAAUGGAGCAUUUUUGCACACCACCAUUUAGUGUAGUAUAUGUACAUCACUCUAUUUAUCAUCAUUAGAUGAGUUUGAAUUUCGAAAUUCGUAUAGUAGAUAGACACAAAUCUCAAAAUUCAAACUCGUCUAAUGAUAAUAAGUAAGGUGAUGAGCAUACACCAUACUAAAUGAUGAUGAGCAAAAAUGCACUCCUUUCAAAAAUUAGUUAUUUUUUGUGUAAUGCACAUGACACCAUAUUAUUGGACAUGUGUGCCACGUCAACAUAUUUGAACUAAUUUUUACAACAUGAACCAGGUGCAUUUUUGCUUACCCACAUUAAAUUUAGGGUAUGCUCAUCAUAUACUUUAUUAAGUGCCAU
rnacentral:lncRNA from 1 species